AAAACAACAGUUAGUGACAUCACCAACAACCUUCACAAGGCAGGGGUGAAGGUAUCAUAAGCCACCAUUUGAAGAAGAUUUCAAGUGUAUAAAUGUAUAGGCCAUACAAUAAGAUGCAAACCUCUCAUCAGCAGUAAGAACCAGAAAGCCAGAUAUGAUUUUGCAAAGAAAUACAGAGAUGAGCCAUUAAAGUUCUGGAACCAAAAUUAACCUCUUCCAAAGUGAUGGAGAAAGAAAGGAUCUGCUCAUGAUCUAAAACGUGCAAGCACAUCAGUCAAGCAUGGUGGAGAUAGUGUCAUGGCUUCUCUUUGCAUGGCUGCUUCUGGAAUGGGCUCACUAAUCUUUAUUGAUGAUGGUAGCAGAAGAAUGAGUUGAGGAAUCUAAAACUCUGUCUUCCAAUUUACAGAGAAAUGCAUCCAACCUAAUUGGGAGGAACUUCAUCAUGCAGCAAGAACAUACUCAAAACACACUGCCAACACAACAAAGGACUUCAUCAGGGGGUAAAAGUGGAAGAUUUUAGACUGACCAAGUCAGUCACCAGACCUCAAACCAGUUGAGCAGCAUUUCACCUCCUGAAGAUGAGAUUGAAGAGAGAAACCCCUCUAAAACAAACAAAAUCUGCAGUGCAAGCCUGGAAAAGCAACACAAUGUGUGUGUGUGUGUGUGUGUGUGUGUGUGUGUGUGUGUGUGUGUGUGUGUGUGUGUGUGUGUGUGUGUGUGAGAGAGAGAGAGAGAGUGUAGCCAAUCUACCCACCAGCAUGUUUUGGGAAGUAGGAGGAAACUGGAGCACACAGUGGAAACCCACAUAGACAUGGGGAGAAAAUGAGAAGCUCCACACAUUGUAACCAGAGAUCAGGAUGAAACCUGGGAUGCUGGAGCUGUGAGGUGACCGUGAGAGUCUGAUGCUUGUGUUGUGUACUGAAGAACAAAGUGAUUCUGGCUUUAAGUUCCCACACAGGAAGUGACUGUAGCAAGGACGGAGUCAUUCUGUGUGCAUGUUGAGAAAAACAUCUGCCUACCCAAGUCAGUCUGAAGUCAUCAACAGGAUGGGGCUUGGCAAGUUUCCAAGCUGGUAAAAGCAGAGCCACAGAAUGAUGCAGAAGAUUACAUCAACAGGGUCAUCAACUCCAGUCCUAGAAGGCCAGCAUAAUUUGAUCAUUUUCCUGCUCUAACAUACCUACUAAGCCAGGUAAGAAGAACAAGAUCUUUGGCUAAAAUAAAAUAGUUCAAAAUAGUUUCUAUUGUCCUCAUGUGAGUGAAAAUACAGAAAAUACACAAAACCU
ensembl:lncRNA